rnacentral:lncRNA from 13 species
UGCUGGGAGUGUGUGGCCUGCAGGAUCUGGAGGUCCCAGCUGCCUUUCUAAUCUGCUUGGUUUCACCCAGGAGGGCAGCGCCACCUGGUCUCUGAGUCAGCUGUGCACAAAGGAGUUGAAAUUGACAAGGUAAAGAAGGCCUGACUCCUCUUUACAAACCCCAGGCUCCAUUCAAACUCCAGACCCCGCGUGCAUUUCUUCUUACCUAACCCUGCCGUCUCAGUUUCCAGGCGCUGACUCCCUCACCCUGCCGUUUCAAUCCCUGCCUUGACUCAUCUUCCUGGGCCUGCCUCUCCCCUCCAGAGCGCCUGUUCCUGCUACCUCCGUGACCGAGCUGAUCUUUCUAGGAGUGACCUGUGUUCUGAUCAAGCAGGUUCUCACCUACGGGACACUGAGGAAAGCAGUGAAGUAAACGUAAUGAGGCAGAUCGUUUUUAGAGGAGAACAAAAUAGUACACAAAACAUCAGAUUGCAUCGUAUCCGAACUGGGACACGGAUGAAUCUGGAGAACAUCAUUCUCAGCAAACUGACACAAGAACAGAAAAUGAAAUACCGCAUAUUCUCACUCAUAGGUGGGUGAUAAAAAAUGAGAACACAUGGA